ACAAUGUGCAUUGUACAUUAUACAAAUGUAUUUCACUUACCUAAUUGAAAUAUAUAUGGAAUUAAAUUACCGCCCAGUCUUCCAUAUUAUACAAACGUCCCCUAAUGUUUAGUAGUUUUUAAAUUAAUUUGAACAAAAAAGUGGUAAUUAUAUUUUACAGUAAAUAGUUAUUGAAUGAACUUAGAAAAAUACUGUUCAUUGGCAUCAAAUAUUUCACUUUUGUCUCAUAUUUAGAAGAGUUUUCAAGCACAAAAAAUGGCGUUAUAUCAAUAUCAUUGUGGACAUUAAAAUCAUCAACAUUGCAGCUUCGCAAUCUAACGGUAUAAGGAUUCAAUAAAACCAUAACAAUGUUUUAGUGAAACAGAGAGAGUUAGCGUAGUUAACAUAAUUCAAAAUGAUCAACAAUAAAUGAAACAACCUGUGGCUCUAUCUGCAAGUUCAACCGGCAAUCCAACAGUUAGUGCAUUUUUCAACGAGCUAUUUACUUUUUUUUUACCAAAACUACGUUCAAGUUGUGGGAAGCCGAAAAAUAAUUAAUUUUAAAUAUACAUAUAGUUGCCGAGGAAAAGUAAAUUAAAAUGUUUGCUUAUAUUUUUGUUUUGAUUGUAUUCACAAUAUUAAAAACAAUAUUGUUUUUUA